GAACAAGACUGAAAAGUUUGCUUUUUUUUUUUUAAACUAAAAGAUUGCUGACAGUAGAAAAACCUCCAGCCCACCCGAUAGGCUCCAGGAGAAGACAGUUCUGCGGCAAGGUCUAGAAACGUCUUGGUGUGAGAAGGAAGGGGCCAGGACACGCAGUGGAGACCCAGGGGCUGGAGUGGCCUCCCUGGCCAGGCCUCGUGACGUCCAGGACUCCGAGCUGAUGGCGCUACCAGCUCCCUGGUGGAGAGUCCAGCGUCCCAGGGGGAUCUGCCACAAGAAGCCAGGCAGGAAGGCUGGCCUCCAGGACCUUUCUUCUAAAACACCCUGCACAAGCACUGCUCCAGCCUGCAGUCUGGGCAUGGGCUCUGCUGGUCGCCACCAUGGAAAAGGAGAAGAGAAGAGAAGCCGACCUCCCACUCCAGCCUACUGCAGAGCCUUGGGGCCCUCAGGAACCAGCCCAUGGGCCCGUGGUCACCCACAGGGCUGUGCUGAGCAUGGGGCCUCAGAUCUGGGGUCUGAGAUGUACUUUGCAAGCUCAAUGGGAAAACAGAUCUUCCAGAUGAAAACAGACAUUCCGAAGCUGGUGUGUAGCUCAGCAGCAGAGCCCUCGCCCAGCAUGUACAAGGCCCUGGGUUCCGUGCCCAGCACUGCACAAAAACAAAAACCAAAACCAGAUGGUCCCAGAAUGUGGGUCUGCCUCCUUCCCUGCUUCACAGCCAUUCUGGGGUACCUGCCAGGGCCAGGGCACCUGUGGCCUGUCAUGGAGCAUUUGAGAG
rnacentral:lncRNA from 1 species